UGAGCAAUCUGCCCUUCUCAUCGGAAUAAGCGUUGGAAACGACGUCUAAUGCCGAAUACGACCUCCUUUCGCAUGAUCGGAGGUGGAAAGCUCCGGCGGAGAAGGAUGAGCUCGCGGCCUAUCAGCUAGUUGGUGUGGGUAUGGCCCACCAAGGCGACGACGGGUAGCCGGCCUGAGGAGGGUGACCCGGCCACACGUGGGACUGAGACACGGCCCAGACCUCCGUACGGGGAGCAG
rnacentral:rRNA from 1 species